rnacentral:rRNA from 1 species
UUGACGGGGCCCGCACAAGCGGAGGAACAUGUGGUUUAAUUCGAUGAUACGCGAGAACCUUACCUGGGCUUAAAUGUAGAGUGCAUUUUUAGAGAUAGAAAUUCCCUUCGGGGCUUUCUGCAAGGUGCUGCAUGGUUGUCGUCAGCUCGUGCCGUGAGGUGUUGGGUUAAGUCCCGUAACGAGCGCAACCCCUGCCUUUAGUUGCGACCGGUAACGCCGAGCACUCUAAAGGGACUGCCUGGGAUAACCAGGAGGAAGGCGGGGAUGACGUCAAGUCAGCAUGGCCCUUACGUCCAGGGCUACACACGUGCUACAAUGGCCGGUACAGAGGGAAGCAAUACCGCGAGGUGGAGCAAAUCCCAUAAAGCCGGCCUCAGUUCAGAUCGGAGGCUGCAACUCGCCUCCGUGAAGGCGGAAUCGCUAGUAAUCGCGGAUCAGCAGGCCGCGGUGAAUACGUUCCCGGGCCUU